ACAACAAGUUAGAGCCCGUUAAUGGGUGAUAGCGUGCCUUUUGUAGAAUGAACCGGCGAGUUACGAUUGCAUGCGAGGUUAAGUUGAAGAGACGGAGCCGUAGCGAAAGCGAGUCUGAAUAGGGCGAAUGAGUAUGUAGUCGUAGACCCGAAACCAUGUGAUCUACCCAUGUCCAGGUUGAAGGUGCGGUAAAACGCACUGGAGGACCGAACCCACGUACGUUGAAAAGUGCGGGGAUGAGGUGUGGGUAGCGGAGAAAUUCCAAUCGAACUUGGAGAUAGCUGGUUCUCUCCGAAAUAGCUUUAGGGCUAGCGUCGAAGUUGAGAAUGAUGGAGGUAGAGCACUGUUUGGACUAGGGGCCCAUCUCGGGUUACCGAAUUCAGAUAAACUCCGAAUGCCAUUCAUUCAUAUUCGGCAGUCAGACUGUGAGUGAUAAGAUCCAUAGUCGAAAGGGAAACAGCCCAGACCACCAGCUAAGGUCCCCAAAUAUAUGUUAAGUGGAAAAGGAUGUGGGGUUGCACAGACAACUAGGAUGUUGGCUCAGAAGCAGCCAUCAUUUAAAGAGUGCGUAAUAGCUCACUAGUCGAGUGACCCUGCGCCGAAAAUGUACCGGGGCUAAACAUAUUACCGAAGCUGUGGAUUGUACCUUUGGUACAAUGGUAGGAGAGCGUUCUAAGGGCGUUGAAGGUAGAUCGUGAGGACUGCUGGAGCGCUUAGAAGUGAGAAUGCCGGUAUGAGUAGCGAAAGACAGGUGAGAAUCCUGUCCACCGAAUGACUAAGGUUUCCUGGGGAAGGCUCGUCCGCCCAGGGUUAGUCGGGACCUAAGCCGAGGCCGAUAGGCGUAGGCGAUGGACAACAGGUUGAUAUUCCUGUACCCGUUCGCUUUGUUUGAGCAAUGGAGGGACGCAGGAGGCUAAGAAGUGCAGACUGAUGGAUAUGUCUGUUCAAGCAGUAAGUCUUGUGAUGAGUCAAAUGCUUAUCACUAUACGGACAAGCUGUGAUGAGGAGGGAACUAAUAGUACCGAAGCUUCUGAUGUCACACUGCCAAGAAAAGCUUCUAGUGAGAAACGAACGGCCCGUACCGCAAACCGACACAGGUAGUCGAGGAGAGAAUCCUAAGGUGUGCGAGAGAACUCUCGUUAAGGAACUCGGCAAAAUGACCCCGUAACUUCGGGAGAAGGGGUGCUGCUCGUAAGAGCAGCCGCAGUGAAUAGGCCCAAGCGACUGUUUAUCAAAAACACAGGUCUCUGCAAAAUCGAAAGAUGACGUAUAGGGGCUGACGCCUGCCCGGUGCUGGAAGGUUAAGAGGAGUGCUUAGCGCAAGCGAAGGUACGAAUUGAAGCCCCAGUAAACGGCGGCCGUAACUAUAACGGUCCUAAGGUAGCGAAAUUCCUUGUCGGGUAAGUUCCGACCCGCACGAAAGGCGUAACGAUUUGGGCACUGUCUCAACGAGAGACUCGGUGAAAUUU
rnacentral:ncRNA from 1 species